rnacentral:rRNA from 1 species
UACGUAGGGGGCAAGCGUUAUCCGGAAUCAUUGGGCGUAAAGAGCGUGUAGGCGGCCCGAUAAGUCCGCCGUGAAAGUCCAGGGCUCAACCCUGGAAUGCCGGUGGAUACUGUCGGGCUAGAGUCCGGAAGGGGCGAGUGGAAUUCCUGGUGUAGCGGUGAAAUGCGCAGAUAUCAGGAGGAACACCGAUGGCGAAGGCAGCUCGCUGGGACGGUACUGACGCUGAGACGCGAAAGCGUGGGGAGCGAACAGG